GAUGAACGCUGGCGGCGUGCCUAAUACAUGCAAGUCGAACGCUGAGGGAAGGAGCUUGCUCUUUCCGGGUGAGUUGCGAACGGGUGAGUAACGCGUAGGUAACCUGCCUGGUAGCGGGGGAUAACUACUGGAAACGGUAGCUAAUACCGCAUAACAGAAUAUGUUGCAUGAUUUCUUCUUAAAAGGUGCAAUUGCUCCACUAUCAGAUGGACUUGCGUGGUCUUAGGUAGUUGGUGAGGUUACGGCCCACCCAGGCGAAGAUACAUAGCCGACCUGAGGGGGGGAUCGGCCACACUGGGACUGGGACACGGCCCAGACUCCUACGGGGGGCAGCAGGAGGGGAUCCUCGGCAAUGGACGGAAGUCUGACCGGGCCACGCCGCGUGGGGGAAGAAGGGUUUCGGAUCGUAAAGCUCUGUUGUAAGGGAAGGAAGAGAGUGAGAGUGGAAAGUUCACACUGUGACGGUAUCUUACCAGAAAGGGACGGCUAACUACGUG
rnacentral:rRNA from 1 species